UCUCGCAGCGCCUCCUCCCCCCGACGUCUCCUCUUCUUUCUGGCGACCUCGACCACCGCCGCCGCCGACCACGACCUCGAGCAGUGGAUCUUACUCCUCCGUCCUCGACCUCGAGCGGCGGUAACCAUCCUAAAUCGCACACGUGCUCUUCACCGUUAAGAGAAAUCCAUCGACGUCCAUCGUGCCUCGCGCGACCUAGGUAUUUAGAUGACGCGUCGUGUGCGUGGGGAGUGAGGGUGGGGGAUUUGUGCGUCCGGGGUUGCGGAGGGGGUUCGAUUCGGCAAGGCUGAGGCGUGGGGGCGAGCGGUCGGGCCACUGGACCUGCGCCCACAUGCUGCAGGUUAUGGCCGGCAUCGACGGCGGUGGGGACGCACCAGCAGCGCGGCAGCCUGGGUUGACGCCCAUGGAGCUCAUCGAGCAGACGGUGAUUACAUGUGGAGUUCGGGAAGAGCAGCUGCAGCAGCGGCAGCAUCAUCAGUACAUGCCUGCUCAUGUACUUGGAGCCUUGGAGGAGCAGAACGAAAAUAUUUCCAAUGUCACGUUGGACAUCUUGACAGCAGGCACUGAUUUAUCCGAGGCAGCAAGUCCACCAAGAAGGACGAAGACGGCAGCAUCAGCGACGACGAUGCGUACACUCUUUUUUAUUUGUUAAGAUGAGCUAGAUUCCACCCAGUUUUGCUCACAUGAUUGACUCAUUUUUAUUUGUUGGAUCAUGAUGCACUAAAAGAUGUUCAAAAUUGAUGGCAUGAACACUCUUCUAUAUUUAAAUAGUUGAAAUGAGGGAUUUUCUACUAUAGAGAAUCCUGACAGCACAGUCAUUAAGGAUAAUAAAACAUGUUAUUUAGCAAUAAUACAUAGGCUUGCAUAGUAAUUAACUGGUCAUUUGAUUUGUUGAUUACAUCCACUUUAUACAAUUCAUUCUGCAGAGGGAAAGCAGUACAAUAAAGUCUUUUUUAGUACAGCAAAGCAACUCCUUAGUUCUUAUCAUGUCUACUCACUUGUGGAAAUAUUUUCUUAUGUCAUUGCAUUUUAAUCAUUACAUAACAUUAUUACGCCCUACGAUCCAAAAUACCUUUCAUGGUUUUAGUUCCUCCUUUGUUAUUUGCUCAUCUUAUUGUGGUGUUAAUUGAGUGUACCAUAUAAACUUUACAGGUUACUGUAAUCUUGUGAAGCAAAGGUAACUGCUUCUGUUGAGUUGUUACAGAAUGUCCUAUGGAGGAAAUCAGCAACAAAGCAUACACUAUGUCGUAAUUCAAAUUUGCUUGCAAGAUUUCCUAGGAAACCCGAUCCCUGUAAUUCCAGUGGGAUAGAUGAUUAAUUGAACACAUAUAACUUAUAAUGUGUGAUUUUAAAAUAAUUGAAGGAGGUUUGGUGAAAUUUUAAAAAUUGUUGUGACUUAUCAACUCUUGUGAAAAAUAAGAACUACUCAUGCAUUAUUUUCUAAAACAAUAUCCUGUCAUGAUUUAGACAAUCUCAUCUACCGCAUUAUUCCUUGGUUGCAGGUCAGUAAGGUCGUCUUACUUUGAUCCCUGGGUUAAUGAUGUUACUUUCCUAGAAGGUAGAUGGAGUUAUGACAUUAGGCGGUUGACUAGAUGGUCACCAAUUGUUGAUUUGUGUGCCAGGGACCACGCCCGCAUCUCUGCUCCAGUCAAUCACAUUGUGCUAUGAUGCGCACAUCCUCAAGUCUGGGAAGCGACCCUGUGUCCAGAGCCCUUCGCUGUCAACAAACUGGAUGUAGACACUCAGGUGGAAGCAUCCGCUCAGCCCCAAAUUGAUAUUCUCUUUAAUGAUUCUCGGUAUGUAUUUAUAUCAGCCAGAACAUCUUAUAUGGGUUUCUUCUCAUGAUAUUUGUACCUUACAAAGAUUCUGUCUUCAUGCUUGAAUUUUACCAGGUUCUUUCCUGUUUUUACCAUUCAAUUAUUACACAGUUGUUAUGCGUAUCACAUUUGCUGUAAGGUAUAUAUGUUGCUUUCUGUUGGAGAAAACAAAUUUGCAGUCUAUUGAUUGAGUGCAUGGCUGUCAUGAUUUCCCACCGUCAUAUCCCAUUCCUUUAUUAGCUAUUUGUUGGUAAUCUCAUGAGUUGAUUUGCUCUUUCAAAAUUUUCAAGUUACUUCCUAAUUUAUGGAUAACACAGAUGAAGUGUGCUUUGACAGAUAUAACAAGGAAACAUCCACGUCUAAUUUGUUCUUGAUAUAUUUAUAUUGGUUUAUAUCUCGCUGAUCAUACCAUUUUUUAUUUGUGAUAUUAGAAUCUUUGCCUUCUCAAACUUACAUUUUGUUGGGAUUGCAUUAUGCUCAAUGAAUUUGAUAGAAGUAUACCCAGAGGAUGCUAAACAGGGAAACAAAGUACACUCGGUAAAUUUAAUUUGCUUUGUCAAGGAUAUAUAGGGCAAAAAUUCCUCUUAUAGCUCUCCUCGUAUUUAUUGCAAUAAGUUUUUGGUCACCAUCUGGAAUCUUAUUCCAGGAUCCAUGUUAAUCCCAUACAUUUUUCCUGCUGAGUCUUUGGAUGACUGGACUAUUACCUCUCCAGGAGCCAUACAUUUUUAUUUUUCUGCUGUUUAUGUCUUGGUAUUAAUUAGUUGUAGUCCGUGAACAUUGUUGUGUAUGCUGUCAUAUACCAAGCCAAUUUGUAUCCAUGAACCUUGAGUUUUCCCUUGAAUAAUAUAUAUGUUUGACUUUAUGCAAAUUUAAUGUGUUUUAUGUGGCAUUUAUUUACAUUUCUUUAUCAUUU